rnacentral:rRNA from 1 species
CCCUGCCAUUUGUACACACCGCCCGUCGCUCCUACCGAUUGAAUGGUUCGGUGAGAUCUCGGGACCGUGCGAUCUUCCACAGCAAUGUGGGGGUUGCGUGGGAACUUGCUCAAACCUCAUCAUUUAGAGGAAGGAGAAGUCGUAACAAGGUAU